CUGUCUUAACUCUCAACUCUCAACUCUCAACUCUCUCACAACUCUCAUCUCUCUGUCUCAUCGCCGUCGGUCCACUCAAAGCUUAACGUCACCGACCCACCCGAAGCUCAACGUCACCGGCCCACGCCGCUGACCCACUCUGUCAACCCACGUCCCAGACCCAUCUCGCUCACGCCGUUCAAGUCCCUAGCCGACCCAAGCCCCAAGACUCAAGUCCAAAGUUGACCCACGCCAACCCGUCUUGCCUUCUCUUCUGUCUGACCCAUCUCAGCCUCUUCGAUCUAGCUUGGCCUCUCUUCUUUUCUGUCUGACCCACAAAGUUCGAAGCUUGCUUGCUAAUUAGUUGGGAAUUUUCUGUUUGCAGGGAAUUUAUAUUUGUUGAUUGUAAUGAUAAAUUUGCAGAGAAUUGGAAUGUAUUGGGAAUUUUCUGUUUACAGGGAAUUUAUGUUUUUGUUUUAAUGUUUUUGGUGUAAAUGUUAGUUUGGGAAUUUUCUGUGUGUAGGGAAGGCUACAUUUUUUUGGUUUCUGUUUUUGCUUCUUGCUGAUUUUUUGUUUGUUGUAUCUAAUUUAUUACAAUAAAUGUCAUGUUGGAAAUUGUUUUGGGAAUUUUUUGGUUGUAGGGAAGUUUAUGUUUGUUGUUUCUAAUGUAUUGAUGUAAAUGUUAGUUUGGAAA